rnacentral:rRNA from 1 species
AUUGAACGCUGGCGGCAGGCUUAACACAUGCAAGUCGAGCGGGGAAAGGUAGCUUGCUACCUGACCUAGCGGCGGACGGGUGAGUAAUGCUUAGGAAUCUGCCUAUUAGUGGGGGACAACAUUCCGAAAGGAAUGCUAAUACCGCAUACGCCCUACGGGGGAAAGCAGGGGAUCUUCGGACCUUGCGCUAAUAGAUGAGCCUAAGUCAGAUUAGCUAGUUGGUGGGGUAAAGGCCUACCAAGGCGACGAUCUGUAGCGGGUCUGAGAGGAUGAUCCGCCACACUGGGACUGAGACACGGCCCAGACUCCUACGGGAGGCAGCAGUGGGGAAUAUUGGACAAUGGGCGAAAGCCUGAUCCAGCCAUGCCGCGUGUGUGAAGAAGGCCUUUUGGUUGUAAAGCACUUUAAGCGAGGAGGAGGCUACUUAGAUUAAUACUGCUAGGAUAGUGGACGUUACUCG